UGGUUUGUGGCUAUUAGA
rnacentral:misc_RNA from 1 species